rnacentral:rRNA from 1 species
GAUGAACGCUAGCGGGAGGCCUAAUACAUGCAAGUCGAGCGGUCAGCAAUGAUAGCGGCAGACGGGUGCGUAACGCGUAUGAAACUUGCCCCACACAGGAGGAUAGCCUUGGGAAACUGAGAGUAACCCUCCAUAGUCUUGAGUUGCCGCAUGGUAGCUUAAGUAAAACUUCGGUGGUGUGGGAUAGUCGUGCGUCCGAUUAGGUAGUUGGUAGUGUAAUGGACUACCAAGCCGACGAUCGGUAGCUGGUCUGAGAGGAUGAUCAGCCACACGGGCACUGAGACACGGGCCCGACUCCUACGGGAGGCAGCAGUAAGGAAUAUUGGACAAUGGACGGAAGUCUGAUCCAGCCAUCCCGCGUGGAGGAAUAAGGCCCUAUGGGUUGUAAACUCCUUUAGCAGGGGAAUAAAAGGUCAUUAUGAUCAAUUGAAGGUACCCUGAGAAUAAGCACCGGCUAACUCCAUGCCAGCAGCCGCGGUAA